AAACGCCUGGGGAUUACAAGCGCAAGCUUAAAACCCAAAGGAUUUGACGGUGUCCCACCCGCCUAGAGGAGCCUGUUCUAUAAUCGAUGAUCCACGAUAUACCUCACCACUUUUUGCUCUUUCCAGCCUGUAUACCUCCGUCGACAGCCUACCAUUUGAAUGCUUCAAAGUAGGUUCAACGGGUCUCACCCACCAGCACGUCAGGUCAAGGUGCAGCCCAUAAAGUGGGAAGCAAUGGGCUACAAUUUCUAAGAUAGAACACACGAAAGACUACAUGAAACAUAGUCAUGAAGGCGGAUUUAGUAGUAAAAGAAGAUUAAUAAGCUUCUUUUAACAAGGCUCUGGGACGUGUACAAACCGCCCGUCACCCUCUUCAAUAACAUCUUCUUAGUUUCCUAACAUCUAACUAGUACAAUAGAAGAGGCAAGUCGUAACAUGGUAAGUGUACUGGAAAGUGCACUUGGUAAACAAAGUGUAGCUUAACUAAAGCCUUUCGUUUACACCGAAAAAAUACUUGUGCAACCCAAGUCACUUUGAAGCCCUAAGUCUAGCCUUCAUUUUACUUAUGAAAACCGCUAUUAAUCAUAAUAUCACAAAACAUUUUGACAGUUUAGUAAAGGAGAU
rnacentral:rRNA from 1 species